UAAUACGGAGGGGGCUAGCGUUGUUCGGAAUUACUGGGCGUAAAGCGCACGUAGGCGGCUAUUCAAGUCAGAGGUGAAAGCCCGGGGCUCAACCCCGGAAUUGCCUUUGAAACUAGAUAGCUCGAAUCUGGGAGAGGUGAGUGGAAUUCCGAGUGUAGAGGUGAAAUUCGUAGAUAUUCGGAAGAACACCAGUGGCGAAGGCGGCUCACUGGACCAGUAUUGACGCUGAGGUGCGAAAGCGUGGGGAGCAAACAGG
rnacentral:rRNA from 1 species